UACGUAGGUGGCAAGCGUUGUCCGGAUUUAUUGGGUUUAAAGGGUGCGUAGGCGGCUUAAUAAGUCAGUGGUGAAAGCCGAUUGCUCAACGAUCGAACUGCCAUUGAUACUGAUUUGCUUGAGUACAGAUGAGGUAGGCGGAAUUGACAGUGUAGCGGUGAAAUGCAUAGAUAUUGUCAAGAACUCCGAUUGCGAAGGCAGCUUACUAAGUUGUCACUGACGCUGAGGCACGAAAGUGCGGGUAUCAAACAGG
rnacentral:rRNA from 1 species